UUGCAUUUAAAUCAAAUGCGUGCUAAAAUAAGAGAG
rnacentral:sRNA from 1 species